AGAGUUUGAUCAUGGCUCAGGAUGAACGCUAGCGGGAGGCCUAAUACAUGCAAGUCGAGCGGUAACUUUCUUCGGGAAGCUAGAGCGGCGCGCGGGUGAGUAACGCGUACAUGACCUACCUUUAAGACUGGGAUAGCCCUGGGAAACUGGGAUUAAUACCGGAUGUGAUAAUACGUAUAGAGAUGUAUUAUUAAAGUUGAGGCGCUUAGAGAUGGAUGUGCGUCUGAUUAGCUAGUUGGUAGGGUAACGGCCUACCAAGGCGACGAUCAGUAGGGGGCGUGAGAGCGUGGCCCCCCACACGGGUACUGAGACACGGACCCGACUCCUACGGGAGGCAGCAGUAAGGAAUAUUGGUCAAUGGACGGAAGUCUGAACCAGCCAUCCCGCGUGCAGGAUGACUGCCCUAUGGGUUGUAAACUGCUUUUAGCAGAGACGAAACGCCUUCAUUUAUGAGGGUCUGACGGUAUCUGCAGAAUAAGCACCGGCUAACUCCGUGCCAGCAGCCGCGGUAAUACGGAGGGUGCAAGCGUUAUCCGGAAUCACUGGGUUUAAAGGGUGCGUAGGCGGAUAUUUAAGUCAGUGGUGAAAUCUUGUCGCUUAACGAUAAAAUUGCCAUUGAUACUGAAUGUCUUGAAUUGGGUUGAGGUUAGCGGAAUGUGACAUGUAGCGGUGAAAUGCAUAGAUAUGUCAUGGAACACCAAUUGCGAAGGCAGCUAGCUGGGCCUUGAUUGACGCUGAGGCACGAAAGCGUGGGUAGCGAACAGGAUUAGAUACCCUGGUAGU
rnacentral:rRNA from 1 species